GAUGAACGCUGGCGGCGUGCCUAAUACAUGCAAGUCGAGCGAACAGACGAGGAGCUUGCUCCUCUGACGUUAGCGGCGGACGGGUGAGUAACACGUGGAUAACCUACCUAUAAGACUGGGAUAACUUCGGGAAACCGGAGCUAAUACCGGAUAAUAUAUUGAACCGCAUGGUUCAAUGGUGAAAGACGGUUUUGCUGUCACUUAUAGAUGGAUCCGCGCCGCAUUAGCUAGUUGGUAAGGUAACGGCUUACCAAGGCAACGAUGCGUAGCCGACCUGAGAGGGGGAUCGGCCACACUGGAACUGAGCCACUGUCCAGACUCCUACGGGAGGCAGCAGUAGGGAAUCUUCCGCAAUGGGCGAAAGCCUGACGGAGCAACGCCGCGUGAGUGAUGAAGGUCUUCGGAUCGUAAAACUCUGUUAUUAGGGAAGAAAAAAUGUGUAAGUAACUAUGCACGUCUUGACGGUACCGAAUCAGAAAGCCACGGCUAACUACGUG
rnacentral:rRNA from 1 species